UGUUUUUUUGAAAAUAAUAUAAAGUUUAAUUUGCCCACUGAUAUUAAUAUUAAAGGGCUGCAGUAUAUUGACUGUACAAAGGUAGCAUAAUCAUUAGUCAUUUAAUUGAUGGCUUGUAUGAAGGAUUGGAUGAAAUAUAGACUGUCUCUUAAUUAUAUAUUUAGAAUUUAAUUUUUUAAUUAAAAAGUUAAAAUAUUUUAAAAAGACGAGAAGACCCUUUAGAGUUUUAUAAUUAAGUUAAUUGAGAUUAUUUAUAAAAUAAAAAUUAAGAUUAAUUUAUUUAUUUUGUUGGGGUGACAGAAAAAUAUAUUAAACUUUUUAUAUAAUAAAACAUAAAUAAAUGGUUAGAUGAUCCAUUAUUAUUGAUUAUAAGAAUAAAUUACCUUAGGGAUAACAGCGUAAUUUUUUUUUUUAGUUCAUAUAAAAAAAAAAGUUUGCGACCUCGAUGUUGGAUUAAAAUAAAAUCUAAAUGCAGAAG
rnacentral:rRNA from 1 species